ACGCUGACAGAAUGCUUAACACAUGCAAGUCGAUGAUGGGAGCUAGCUUGCUAGAAGAAGUCAUGGCGGACGGGUGAGUAACGUGUAAAGAACUUACCAUAUAGACUGGGAUAACAGAGGGAAACUUCUGAUAAUACUGGAUAAGUUAGAAGUAGCAUUACUAAGUAAUGAAAGGUAGCAAUACGCUAUAUGAGAGCUUUGCAUCCUAUUAGCUAGUUGGUGGGGUAAAAGCCUACCAAGGCGAUGAUAGGUAGCCGGCCUGAGAGGGUGGACGGCCACAAGGGGACUGAGAUACGGCCCUUACUCCUACGGGAGGCAGCAGUGGGGAAUAUUGGACAAUGGAGGCAACUCUGAUCCAGCAAUUCUCUGUGUGUGAAGAAGGUUUUAGGACUGUAAAACACUUUUAGUAGGGAAGAAAGAAAUGACGGUACCUACAGAAGAAGCGACGGCUAAAUACGUGCCAGCAGCCGCGGUAAUACGUAUGUCGCGAGCGUUAUCCGGAAUUAUUGGGCUUAAAGGGCAUCUAGGCGGUUAAACAAGUUGAAGGUGAAAACCUGUGGCUCAACCAUAGGCUUGCCUACAAAACUGUAUAACUAGAGUACUGGAAAGGUGGGUGGAACUACACGAGUAGAGGUGAAAUUCGUAGAUAUGUGUAGGAAUGCCGAUGAUGAAGAUAACUCACUGGACAGCAACUGACGUGAAGUGCGAAAGCUAGGG
rnacentral:rRNA from 1 species